rnacentral:rRNA from 1 species
GACGAACGCUGGCGGCGUGCUUAACACAUGCAAGUCGAACGGAAAGGCCCUGCUUUUGUGGGGUGCUCGAGUGGCGAACGGGUGAGUAACACGUGAGUAACCUGCCCUUGACUUUGGGAUAACUUCAGGAAACUGGGGCUAAUACCGGAUAGGAGCUCCUGCUGCAUGGUGGGGGUUGGAAAGUUUCGGCGGUUGGGGAUGGACCCGCGGCUUAUCAGCUUGUUGGUGGGGUAGUGGCUUACCAAGGCUUUGACGGGUAGCCGGCCUGGGAGGGUGACCGGCCACAUUGGGACUGAGAUACGGCCCAGACUCCUACGGGAGGCAGCAGUGGGGAAUAUUGCACAAUGGGCGGAAGCCUGAUGCAGCAACGCCGCGUGCGGGAUGACGGCCUUCGGGUUGUAAACCGCUUUCGCCUGUGACGAAGCGUGAGUGACGGUAAUGGGUAAAGAAGCACCGGCUAACUACGUG